AUGAAUCCGAUGACUGACGACGCGGUAUUCUACUCGAUAAUGUAUUCUCGAUGGAAGAAGUCAAAAUUCCACCGAGUAUUGACAGAUCACCGACUGGUUUCUAACGCACGAAAAUAAAACACAAUUGCAUAAUUAACAAUUUGUUUACUGGAUUGCUUUUUAGAUGUUGCAAAAAGAUCAUUAUCAUCUUCUUCCUCGCUAAAUAGAUUAUUGACAUCGACAUUGGACUCUGGUGUGCUUGUUGUCCAGUUGGUUUUACCAGUUUUGCCAAUCACAACGUCAAGGAACUUCUUUUGUAUACUUUCUGUAUUCAUAGCUUGUUUGCUCUCUGCUUUAGCAUCUUUCGUAAUCCUUUUUACAGGUUGUUUCGAUGAAAAGAUGUCAUCCGAAUCUUCUGAAUCUCCAUCAGCGAAUAAAUCAUCAAUCGCUGAUUUUGGUUUUAUAGCUAAGAAAAAAUUAAAUCUGCUCGACUCGAUUUAUUAUGACUUGAUUUGUUAAAAUCUAAUGUAUAUUACACGUUGAACUUACAUAUUGUACUGAUAGGUGGUGGAACAUCCAUACUAGGUGGAAUAAUAUUCGAUUGAAAAACAGGUUGUUUUUCCCAUAACUUCGUCGAUACAUUAUCUUCGAAGAUUUCUUUGUUAUCGUCAAAUAAAUUGUUGGGUUUAUCGUUAAAGAAAUCUUCCAUACCAUCAUCCUCUGAUGUAAAUAGAUCGUCCAAAAGUAAAGGAAUUAUUUUUUCAUCUAUUGUCAUAUGUAAUAUGAAGAUAUUAAAAUAUUACCUUUAAAUUUA